GCAUGGGGAAGGUGUGAUACAUCUACGGUCCUUUUUUGGUUCCUCCGCCGACCACUGUGAGCAACGUAUAGGCAACAAAGAAUAAAUGUUUCGUGGCGAACAACACAGUUUCACAAUCAAACGGGUGCAUUUGAAGGAUUGGUGUGGGAAGAGAUUGAACUGCAAAACAUUUCGCAAACACGAUGGCACACCAAGCCGGCACCACCGUCCAAUACAGUCAAAGGCACAUUGGCUUUGAAAACCAGUUUUGCAUCAUAUAUUUAUGCAUUCCCCGUGCCUUCACGUGUCUCUUCUAACCGAGCCCAAUAGCCUCCCUCUACCACCACCAGGCCGAGUAGUCCCAAAUCCAAAACCAGUCGUGUAGAUAUGGCUGACCACCAUAUCUUCAACUGAAUGCCGCCCGUCGAUUGCUUCCCCCCAACGAUCAUGUCGACCCGCUCUCUUUCUGACACCUUCCGAUUUAUCAUCCAUACGCCUCAAAGGUGCGUCCUUAGCGUGCAAAUGGAAUCGCGAAACACUUGCGCGCUCGAUCACUUGCUCUCGCCUCCGGCGGCGGCAAAUCUUGUUUUCGAUCGUGGUGUGUCAUUCGAACAUUGGUCAGCUUCGGGCAUGAUGACGUUUACAUCUGGUGGUGGUGGGUAGCGUUAUUUUGUUUAUUUUCGUUACCCAGUGCAAUAAAACAUUCGGUCAUGGUCGUGUCGUACGCUCUCCGAUCGAACUAUCCCACCAUCGUGACACGCUGUUUAACCUCCUAGAAGGUCAUCGUUAGUCAAUAACACAUUAUUUUGUUACAUUCUAAACAUCACUUUAAAGUGUAUUCAUUGCCAUUUGAAUCCUGUGGAUUGUGUUUCUUUUGUCGAAUUCAAAAUUAAGAAUCUCCAAAGUAUUUCAAUUUGUGAACAAGGUUAGCCUCAUGCGAGAACGAACCGUAAACUAGAGAUGAGAAUUUUGAUCCGCACCUACUGGGGUCGUUGUGUUAAUUGGAUAAAUUAGAAAUCCUAGGAA